rnacentral:misc_RNA from 1 species
UGGUACCCAGCAGGAAGUACCUGGC